GGCUAGAAAGCAAAAGUGGUUAUGCAAAAGAUUGCAAAUCUUUUUUAAUUGGUUCGAGCCCAAUUCUAGCUU
rnacentral:tRNA from 1 species